GGUAUUGUGGCUCAGCAGCAGAGCGCUUGCCUAGCAUGCAUGAGUCACUGGGUUCGAUUCUCAGCACCA
rnacentral:tRNA from 1 species